rnacentral:lncRNA from 12 species
UAUAUAAAAAUUAUAUAUAUCUAAGUCACAUAGCUGCUUUAUUUUUGUAUCCAUGCCUAGUGCUGUUUGAGCAAUAGGGUGGCGAGGGAGAGGAGGGCUGGACCAGGCUUGGGGCUUGCAGUGCUCCAGGGGCUCUGCCCACUCUGGGCCCAGCAUCACCACUGUUGCUGUUUCAAUAGGGGAAAAACAUUAAAAAGAGAAAAAAUCCCGGGAUGGGGAAGCCUGGGCUUGCUGCCAGCUUGCCCAGGGCCGUGGUGAGGAAAGUGAUCGUUUCUUCCCCACAACUAGCUUGGUGUGUCAGAAAUCCUUUUUUUUUUUUUUUUUUUUUUUUUUUUUUUUUUUAGAGAAAAAAAAAGACAAAUCUCAGCUCUGAGGUGCUUGGGAAGGAUUAGGGAGCUGCAGCCUGGGGGGUGGCACAGGGUGGGGACACGCCGUGGGGACAGGGUCCCCACGCUGCUGCCUCCCUGGGUGCUGUUGGUCCUUGCUGCCCUUAUCAAUCUGGAGGGUUUCUGAAACCCUUCUGCAGCUGGUGGAGCCCCUCAGAGCCACCCAGGUGGCCACAGGGGGAUUCUUCAGGUCCCUGGAGCAGGGAACCUUCUCUGCAGGGAAUGUCAGGACCACUCCAGGCGUGUCCCUGGCCAGCAGGGCUUCCUGGUGCCAUGGGGGCUGCUGGCGUCCACUGAGGCAGGAUCUGGGGCUCUCCCUGCCUGCAUGGGUGGGAUUUGAAGCUCUCUCUGCCUCGAUGGAUGGGAUGUGAGGCUCUCCCUGUCCCUGUAGAUGGGAUUUGAAGCUCUCCCUGUCCCCAUGGAUGGGAUUUGAAGCUCUCCCUGUCCCUAUGGGUGAGGUGGCAUUGAGCCCUGGUGCAGUGGAGAAUAUGCUGGGGAUAUUUAGGGUUUUUCCUGCAGGGCACUACAGACCCACCAGAUGCCUGCCCCCUUCCCUGUGGGCUGUGGAGGGACAAGGAGCCAGUUUGGGACUGAGCAAUGCCACCUCCAGCUGCAAACCACCUCUCUGCCUUUGCUGGGGCACGAUUUGGGGAUUGUCUCUGUGCAGUGGUGACUGGGGCUUCGCUCCCCUCGGUCUGUGUCCCACAGUCCCGGGCUCUGGGGGAUCCAGGUGCUGUUGUUUGGGCUCAGAUGUCCCCGAGGGGGAGGUGGCACAUCCCCGCAGUGCUCACACCCCCCCAGAGGCAGGCAGAGGUCCCUCAGCGUCGUCAUGCCAUGUCCCCAUGGCUGAGGCACGAAUGUACUCCUGGGAGCUGCCCCUCGCUGGCACCGUGUCCUCCCUAGGUGUCACCUGUAUUUUCCAUAUUUCUCUCUUCUUUGUCGGGUCGGGGGGGGCUGGGGUGGGGGAUGUUUCUAAUAUCCAGCCAAGAUUUGUUCAGCACCAAUUCUUGAUAUCGAAGCAAAGCAUGUUUGAUGGGACUAACUUGCAUUUAUUAGCGGUAAAUACAUAAGUGAGUAUUUUAUAUGUUAAAAAAAAAAAAAACCAGACAAGAAAAAAAAAAAAAAAAAAAAACCCCCCCCCCCCCCCCCCCCCCAAAAAAAAAAAACCAGAAAAAAAAAAAAAAAAAAAAAAAAAAAAAAGAUGUCAGGAGAAAGAGAAGGGAUGAGAUUUCUCACCACUCGGUGUCCGGGGUGGGGGGCUGCCUUGCCCCCCCCCGGUGGGGCUUUGGGUAUUGCUGGGGGUGGGCAGGGAGGCAGGCAGCUUUCUCCUUUCCCCAUCCCCCCUGGAAUCACUUACAGAAAAAAAACAAGCAAAGGAAAGCUAGAGAUGUUUACAAAGCACACUUCCCACAGUACCGUUAACCCUCUGGAUGCCAAACAGACACAUCAGGGGCCGCUCCCUCCCUGUGCCCCGGGGGCUCAGGGGGCGGCGGCUCCCACAGCAUCGUCCCGCUCCCCGUGGUUUCUUUGGUUUGGUUUUUUUUUGGACACCAUCCCCGCUGCCUCCAUCCGUGCACACCUGCCCGGAGCUUGCUUUCCAGGGGGGUUUGCUUCUUGCCCCCUCCCAGGCUCUUCCUGCUCGGCUGGGAGCUGUGGGAAGCGCCUGUCUCUGCUCGGGGAGGUUCUGGCUCGGUGGGAGAUGCUGGCACUCACUCCUUGCCCUCCCAGAUGCACUUUAAGGCCAAACUUCCCUUUUUUUCCUUCUCUGGGGCUGGCAGAGGGCAGGUAGGGGAUGCUCCCGUGGCCCCAGGGGGUGCAGGACCUUCCACAGGGCUGUGCAGGCUCCAGUCCCUUGGCAUUUCCCAUGUGGGAAAGCCCUUUGGACAUCCUGGAAAUGCCCACGUUGCCCUGAGGUUCAUCCUUUGGGUGUUUGGGGAUCACACCUGCACUCCAGCUCCUCGGGGAGCAGCCCUGCAUCCCCCGGGAGCAUCUCCAGCUCUCCCAUGGGAGCAUCCCUGGCUCUCUGGGGGAGCCCAGACUUUUUAAUUCCCUUUUAAUAGGUUUGUAGACUCUCUGAACCCUCAUAGACCUCCAUAGGUAGCUCUUGGUUUAAUCCCCUCCUAACCCCGUAGUGUUUUCCCCUAGGGCAGGAUUUUCUUCCAGACCCAACGCAUCUCUGGUUGCGUGGGACAACUUUUUCCUCUUUUUAAGAAGAAUUUCUUGCCUCUGGAUAUAAAGACUAGACCAUCCAACCUCGUCUCCAUCUCUUGAAUGUCGAGUAUUACGAUGUAUAACACACGUUAGGGUGCUCUUUGGUGCUGUUUCAAUGGUAACCAGUGGAACCGACUUUUUAAAAUAACAAUAACAAUAAAAGAAACUUUAGUGCCGCUGGUUCCAUAACAUUCGUUGUUGUGACUUUUUUUUUUAAAAGUUUUGUUAGGGUUUAGGUUGUUUUUUUUUUUUUUAAUUCCUUUUUAAGUUUUACUAAACAGUGAGUAGUGAUCAGCUGCCGGGUUUCUGUGGUGUUGGUUUUUGUGACUGGUGGCUGCUGUGAGCAUUACAAUUUAGUGGGAUUUGGGAUUGAGUCACUUCCUUUUGGAACUGCACACAGCAGAACGAGCAUUUGAUGGGAGCCCAGACGGCAACUAGAGGGUUAAUUUUUGAACUUUCAGGUAUGUUCCUCAGAAG